rnacentral:tRNA from 1 species
GGAUUGUGACUCAGUGGUAGAGCUCUUGUCUAGCACAUGCGAGGUCCUGGGUUCAAUCCUCAGCACCA